UCCGUAGGGUGCAAGCGUUGUCCGGAAUUAUUGGGCGUAAAGGGCUCGUAGGCGGUCUGUCGCGUCGGGAGUGAAAACUCAGGGCUUAACCCUGAGCCUGCUUCCGAUACGGGCAGACUAGAGGUAUGCAGGGGAGAACGGAAUUCCUGGUGUAGCGGUGGAAUGCGCAGAUAUCAGGAGGAACACCGGUGGCGAAGGCGGUUCUCUGGGCAUUACCUGACGCUGAGGAGCGAAAGUGUGGGGAGCGAACAGG
rnacentral:rRNA from 1 species